UACCAGCACCCCGAGUGGUCGGGCCGAUUAUUGGGCCUAAAGCAUCCGUAGCCGGUCCUACAAGUCUUCCGUUAAAUCCACCUGCUCAACAGAUGGGCUGCGGAAGAUACUAUAGGGCUAGGAGGCGGGAGAGGCAAGCGGUACUCAGUGGGUAGGGGUAAAAUCCUCUGAUCCAUUGAAGACCACCAGUGGCGAAGGCGGCUUGCCAGAACGCGCUCGACGGUGAGGGAUGAAAGCUGGGGGAGCAAACCGG
rnacentral:rRNA from 1 species